rnacentral:rRNA from 1 species
AGGGUCGUGCACACCUCGGUGCUCUCACACAUAUCCAUCUCACCCUUUGUGCAUCACCGCGUGGAGGCCCCUUUUGGCUAUUUCUGAGGGGGGUUUUCACGUUUUUACACAGACACCCUUUUAAUGCAUGUGUAGAAUGUCUUACUUUUUGUGAUCACACACAAUCAAUACAACUUUCAACAACGGAUCUCUUGGCUCUCGCAUCGAUGAAGAACGCAGCGAAAUGCGAUACGUAAUGUGAAUUGCAGAAUUCAGUGAAUCAUCGAAUCUUUGAACGCACCUUGCGCCCUUUGGUAUUCCGAGGGGCACACCCGUUUGAGUGUCGUGACAUCCUCAAACCUUCUUGGUUUCUUGACCGGGAAGGCUUUGGACUUUGGAGGCUUUUGCUGGCCUUCUCUUGUUGAAGCCAGCUCCUCUGAAAUGAAUUAGCAGGGUCUGCUUUGCCGAUCCUUGACGUGAUAAGAUGUUUCUACGUCUUGGGUUAGCACUGUUUGCUCUGGAUCCUGCUUCUAACUGUCUCAUGGAAGACAAUGGUCGAGUGAUUGCCACUUGACCCACAAACCUUGACCUCAAAUCGGGUGAGACUACCCGCUGAACUUAAGCAUAUCAAUAA